rnacentral:lncRNA from 1 species
CACUACGGAGGAGGAAAGACCCUACUUCGAAGGGAUUAGAGCAGCCAAAGUCCAUUUCAUCCCUCCAAAGGCAGCCCCGAAGCAUGCUCUCAAUGCUUUUGAAACACCUCCCAAGCGUCGCAAGACUAUAGUAGAUAUUGUUGAGGACGUUCGCAGGCUAGACAGAGUCAUCAUAGACCUCCAGUCCUCAGUUAAUUCCCUCACUAGGCAGCUCUCUAACCAAAACACUGUUAUACUAGGCCUUAGGCAGGAUCUUGCCAGUGCCAAUAAGAAGAUUAAGGAGUUAGAGCACCGCUGAGUUAUCUAGAUUAGACCUUGAAGCAAUGCAUCUUAGUUAUCUAUCUUUAAAUUCGGUUUAGGUUUACUAUUAUUGUCAGUUUGUUACUAUUAUCGUCAGUUUGCUACUAGUUAUUUGUAAUAAAUGCCUCAAGAUUAAUAAAGAGUAUUAUUAUUAUAAUUAUGUCUUGUGUGUCUCUACUUUAUUUUUGUGCCAGAAAGCAAAAAACAAGUAUGGGGGAGAUCCCUCGACAUGCCAAACACACUUCGACUACACCACUCCACGAUUCAGGUACACACUCUGCACACUUUACACAUACAUAUAUCUUAGAUUAUGCAGAAUACUGUUUCCGACAUGAUAAAUUAAAAAAGAUUAAAAUGUUUCUAAUCAUGAUUAAUCUCACUCUCUGAUAUUUCCUGAAACUUGCAAUUAUUGAAAAAUCAUUUUAAAACCCUGUGUUACUUAAGUCAUUGUGGACUUUGAGAUGGUAGAGUAUGAGUUUCUUAUUCUUGACAUCAUUGUUGCUUGGAGAAUUUAUUUCAAAAUUUGUUCAAAAAUUCUAGCUUCCAUCCUCAGUGUUUUAUAUGCCUACUAAAACAGAAAAUAUUAAUUAUGACUAUAAAAGCUAUCUACUCUGUAUUGAGUUUGUUCAAAAUGAGUUAGACCCUUGUAGAGAGAUUUAUCAUGCUCCUAAGAUCAAGACAUUAUUCAGAAAGAUUCACUCUUCUGAAGUAUUAUUGCAUUAGAGGCAUGGGCUAUGCAAAAAUAAGAUAUUUCGAGGAAAUAAAAAGGAGCAAGUGCUCGAUAACCUCGUAGAAAAAAUGGACAAGUGUCCGGCAGUAGAAUUAGGGGUACCUCGGUAUCCACUUAAAAAAAGAAGAGAAAAAAAAGAAAAUGAUAGCCCAUGGUCCCUCUAAUAAGCAAUAUGCCAGCAAGAGUUGACAAAGAUUUUAAUCUCGGAGUAUGACAUUCCCCUCCUCGGAUCCCAUUUUGAUCAGUCAAUAAAUACAAAGUAAGUAUGCUUGAGAAUUUUUGCAAAUUAAAACAGCCUCAGUGAGAUAUAUAAAAGAUAAUGAGUGAUCAGAGAGAACCUAUGAUGAUAAAAGGUAUGCUAACAUUCUUUUCAAAAACAUAUAAAAACUCCAAGUGACAGGAUUGAGAAGAAAGGAUCUUUACUCUUAACCAUAUACUUCCCUGACUAUAGUACACAGUGGAUUUUAACACCCUGCAGUUAUGAAGAGAAUGUUUUAAAAUGUUUUACCCCAGAUAUUGUUCUUAACCAUCCUUUUCUCGAGGACGAGUAAAAGCCAAAGUAUGGGGGUAUUUGUUGACGGUUCUUAAGUAUCAAUUUUAAUUAUCAAAUAAACAAGAGAAAGGACCAAUAUGCAAACAACACCUAGAAUUAGGGUUUAAUCUGACAGAAUUCCACGAGUUUUGUUGUUUAUCUGUUUCUGCAGGGGGUUAUCAGGAAAUAAGGAAGAAAGGCCCACAUGUCGGGAUUACAUAGAGAUAUCAACGCACCGCGCAAUUUUCUACCAUCUAGAAGACUCCAGAAGCCACGGGAAGAAAGCGGAGGCCGAACGGGGCCAGGACCCGGGCGCCCGCCCAGUUGACCUGGGAGCCCGCCCUCUAUUGGAUGCCAAUCAGGACUCUUUUCGCACACGACACUCCACCGACCUAAAGGAUCAAGGAUAACCGUCCAACCAAUGUCGGUUUGAUCCAACGGCUCACAUUUACCUGAGGGGACUAUAAAACCAGACCCCCUGGCCCAUGGAGGAGACAAGUUCAUCAUAGAGUUGAGAGGAGCCCUCGAAGGAAUACCUCUCCUCUAAAUAAAAUUUCUUUUUAGGCUUAGCAACCAAUGUGAGUAGAAAUAGAUUUUCUAGUUUGUACUAGAUUGAGAGAGAUAGAGUGGAGGUGUAGAUCGGAGGAAGCCCGACCUGUCGGUGUCUACUCCGAGCUUGUACCUGCG